rnacentral:piRNA from 1 species
UUAAAAAAUUCUGUACACAAAGG